rnacentral:rRNA from 1 species
GACGCACGCUGGCGGCGUGCUUAACACAUGCAAGUCGAACGAAGUGGCGAACGGGUGAGUAACGCGUAAUCAACCUGCCCUUCAGAGGGGGACAACAGUUGGAAACGACUGCUAAUACCGCAUACUGAAGGAGGGGAUUGCGUCUGAUUAGCUAGUUGGAGGGGUAACGGCCAACCAAGGCGAUGAUCAGUAGUCGGUCGGGGAGGAGGAACGGCAAAAUGGGGACUGAGCAACGGCCAAGACUCUGACGGGAGGCAGAAGUGGGGAAUCUUCCGCAAUGGACGAAAGUCUGACGGAGCAACGCCUCGUGAGUGAUGACGGCCUUCGGGUUGUAAAGCUCUGUUAAGCGGGACGCGGUACCGGAAUAGAAAGCCACGGCUAACUACGUGCCAGCAGCCGCGGUAAU